AAAAAAAAAAAGAACAGAGGAUUGACGGGAGGAAGAAGACUCCCGUUGAGAGUCUUCUUCCAACCCCAAUGAGUAGAUUUAAUCUAAGCCAAACUCCUCCUCUGGUCCUCUUUAAAGAGAGGCCAACCCUUCCCUUCAAACCCCAUGAGCUCCGGCUGCCUUCUGUCCCCUUCUUCUCUUGAGAAAUUUUCACCGAGUUCACCAAAAUCAAGACCAUUGAUCAUCGAAAAAAAAGGUAAGAACUUUUUCCAAUCCUUCUCCUCAUCUUCCAAAGUCUAUAGGUGCUAGGACUUUGAUCGACAAUCAUCGGACUUUGGCCAAAUA
rnacentral:lncRNA from 1 species